rnacentral:rRNA from 1 species
UGGGGAAUCUUGGACAAUGGGCGCAAGCCUGAUCCAGCCAUGCCGCGUGGAUGAUGAAGGCCUUAGGGUUGUAAAAUCCUUUCGUUGGGGACGAUAAUGACGGUACCCAAAGAAGAAGCUCCGGCUAACUUCGUGCCAGCAGCCGCGGUAAUACGAAGGGGGCUAGCGUUGUUCGGAUUUACUGGGCGUAAAGCGCGUGUAGGCGGAUUCGUAAGUUGGGGGUGAAAUCCCGAGGCUCAACCUCGGAACUGCCUCCAAAACUACAAGUCUGGACCUAAGUAGAGGCAAGUGGAAUUGCGAGUGUAGAGGUGAAAUUCGUAGAUAUUCGCAGGAACACCAGUGGCGAAGGCGACUUGCUGGGCUUGUAGUGACGCUGAGACGCGAAAGCGUGGGGAGCAAACAGGAUUAGAUACCCCCGUAGUCCCUGAGCGGGCUGGCAAGGCGCAU